GUUAUGUCUUGAGAAUUUAAACAUCCCAGGAUUUAAAACCCCUCUCUUGCCUGCGACGAGCAUUAUGUGGACUUCUGACUUCUGUGGUUCGCCAGGCAUCUCCUUUAGAGACAGUGAAAGCAAGUUUGUGUGGCUGAGUUCGUCCUUCCCCAGGAAAAGAACGUGUUUGACAAUGGGGUAAAAAAAAAAAAAGAAAAAAAAGAGAUAUCCCAGAUAUCCACUUCAGAGCGCUUGCUAUUAUUUCAUUAGAUUGAUAUCAGGUUGUCUUACACCGCCCUCUUUCUCCCCCAGUCGCCCUUCUGUGGCCGAGUCUCUCAUUUCAGCAAAGACAAUGGCCUGUCUUUCCUGCAGUACUGAGUAAAUGUCAGGUACUGUCUACCCUCCUCCUCAUCUAUUCACUGAAAUACUCCAAGGGCUUAGGGGUAGAUAUCCAUCUAGCGGGGUCUGUAUACAAUGUGUGCUACAUGGUAUAACUCAAGUCAAAUCACGGGCUCGAGUUUCCCCCUCACAUGUAUGCGGUUUACAGAAACGCACAAUACCUCAACAAAGGAGUUUAGGCAUUUUCACUGAACAAUGGGUAUUUUUUUUUUAAGCUUAGAAGUUAUGUCUUUUUCACGAAUGUCAACGUGAUUUAAAAAUAGGAUAGUUUAUUUGAAUGGAAGAAGAAGGAAAAUCAUCGUUUUGUUUGUUUGUUUUUUUUCCAAAAAGCAAUCCUGAAGAGACUGAUGCGGAAAGGGGAGGCACUGGUUCUCGGCAAACUGAUGGCAUCUGUUAUGUUAUAUGAUUAGGACAUUAACUCCUUCCAUAAAAGACACCUCUGGCAGUCUUCGGCUUCAGCUUUCAUAUUCCCCUUUCUCUGCUUUUGGACAUCUGGCAGGCAUACGCUUGAAGCUGCACGGAGAAGGGAGGAUGUGGGGGUAGGGAUCGAUUCCAUAACUCCACGGACUGUUGACGGAGAACUUCAGGAUUUUCACCAAGGGAGGGAGAAGGAGGCUGGAGGGACCGGGUGGACAUGGUUCCUUUCAGAUAUAUUUCGAGAAGGCCUGUCCUGGCGGUGAUGACAACAACAUGUGUGCUGCUGCGCGGCUGUUUGCAGGCUUCAGAGAGAGACAUGAACAAUAGGUCAAGUCGUGGGCUGUAAGGCUUUACUUGAUAAUUUCUCUAAGUUAUGAUUAGCCGUCAAACGUCAACCAGGGCCUGUUUUGCAAUGUCUGCCUCGGUAAGAGGGUGAUUUAUGAAAGCGAUUUGGGAUUCCUUCAUGAUUUUAAACAUGGCGGUGGGGGUGAGGGAGGGGGGUUAAAUAUCAUUGAACUCAGCUGGAGGAAACUUGGACGAACACAUCACACGGUAAAGCCUGAAACAAUGAAAGGAAGACUCGGAGGUGACAUGGAAGGCAACCUCGAGCUCACGAAAACGCCAGUGCAUUAUCACAGCUCCGCAUUAUCUUAACCUCGCUCCCAGCAUCCCUCUGUGGCCCUCGCAGGAAGCUCGGCCGCCUCCCGUCAAGCUCUCUUCAUCUCCGCGUUUAUUUUCUUUCCGCCGCGCGUGUCCAGCGGGAGCUUUGCAAAUGACCUAGUUUUGGUCAGGACUCAAUGGGGCGCCUUGUGCCAAGUCCUCCUGGUGCCAGACGGGGGUCCGGGGACAAGGCCCCACCAGAUAUGCUCAGCGAGAGCGGUAUCCCUUGUUGUUCUAGGGGGAAGGGUUGAUUUGGUGUUUAUUUUUUCAGGUAAUCAGUUAAUCCUGUGGUUUGGUUUGGUUUAGUUUUGUGUGGUCACCUGACCACAUAAAGCCUGAAAAAAAAAAAAAAAAAAAAAAACUGAAAAUGCUUUACUUGCACCCUUUGGAAUGUUUUAGCGUUUUGUCACAUUAACUUUAAUCUGUUUUAGUGGCAUUUUAUGCAACGGACCAGCUCAAAGUAGAGCAGCAGCUGUGAAGUGUUUCAAAAAUAAAUAUCUGAAUUGUGUUGCAUGCAUUUUACUUUGGUUCCCUUUUAAUACAAUCCAACAACAGAACACAAGAACCUAAACAUAAAGAGAUGGAUGUAUACGGCAAACCCUUAUAAGUAAAAACGUUAAGCUGUAUACGGCAAAACUUUCUGAACAUAAAUAAACCACGCAAACAAAGGAUAAAAAAAAAAAAAAACAACAAUCCCCAGGAUCGUGACAAAAACAUUCCUACCCACCUAAAUUGAGAACCGUUGCAGAAAGAGGUUUAUUCAAAGAAGUUACUAAGAUUCACACGCUAACUCUGGAGGAGCUGCAGAGAUCCACGGCUCAGGUGGAAAUACAUGCUGACAGGACAACCGCAUGUCCCACACUCCACUUUCUCAUCUUCAUGGAACAGUGAGAAGAAGAAGACCCCAAUGUUAAGUUCAUCUUCAUAGUUCACCACAACCCUUGUUGGGGAUACUACAAAUAUAUGGAAGGACGUGUUAAAUUCAGAUGAGACCAAAACUGAACUUUUUGGUCCACAUGUGUGGAGGAACACGCUGCAGAUCACCCUGACUUCGCCAUUGUGAGACUUUUUGGGGCAGGAU